rnacentral:rRNA from 1 species
UUGGAGGGCAAGUCUGGUGCCAGCAGCCGCGGUAAUUCCAGCUCCAAUAGCGUAUAUUAAAGUUGUUGCAGUUAAAAAGCUCGUAGUUGAAUUUCGGGGUUAGUAGAUUGGUCGUGCCACUGGUAUGUACUGGUCUUACUGAUUCCUCCUUCCUGAUGAACCGUAAUGCCAUUAAUUUGGUGUUGCGGGGAGACUGGACUGUUACUUUGAAAAAAUUAGAGUGUUUAAAGCAGGCUAACGCUUGAAUACAUUAGCAUGGAAUAAUGAAAUAGGACGUUCGAUCCUAUUUUGUUGGUUUCUAGGAUUGACGUAAUGAUUAAUAGGGAUAGUUGGGGGCAUUAGUAUUCAAUUGUCAGAGGUGAAAUUCUUGGAUUUAUUGAAGACUAACUACUGCGAAAGCAUUUGCCAAGGAUGUUUUCAUUAAUCAAGAACGAAAGUUAGGGGAUCGAAGACGAUCAGAUACCGUCGUAGUCUUAACCAUAAACUAUGCCGACUAGGGAUCGGAUGAUGUUAAUUUUUUAAUGACUCAUUCGGCGCCUUACGGGAAAC